CACAAUCUUCUAGUUUACAGGACAAUGUUCCAACCAGCUGAGUCACAGGGGCCAGGCCUCACCUAAAAUUUUCACAGCUCUCAACUGGCCUGUGAACACAGAAGCAUUCUCCUGCCUGCAGUGUGAAGUGCAAUCCCAGCAGUAAGAGCAAAGCUGCAGUGAGGUGGAGAGUUAAAGCAGAGCAAAGAGACUUGGGUUUGGAUCUCAGGCCCUGGCCCCCUCAGGGGCCAGCUGCUUGGGCACGCAGGCUGGGUCUUGAGAGGUGGACACAGGGAAGCAGUGAGCAAGCAGGGGUCUUCCCCAGAGGCACAGUGCUGAAUCAGGGCUCAGGCACCCAUCCGGGGUGAAGCAGGUCAUGCCAGGGGCUGGAACCCUGCCCUCAGCGGGAAAAGGAAGCUGGUAGCCCGCAUCCCCACACUGGGAAUGGCCUGCAGUUAGGAGUCUAAGGCGGGGGGCCCACUACUAAAAUCAGAGGCCUUGGGGUGAGAGGAACUGCAGCAAACUCUUGUGCCAGCGCUGACCCAGGCCCCCCAGACCCAGGGCUUGCCCAGCAGGCUUAGUUCCUCGCCCCCAACCAGAUCCACAGCCUGCCUUAGUCACACCCCUCAGCGCCUGCAGGCUCCAGCCCUCAGUGAGGCCGCUGAGCAAGGACAGGAAGCCACAGGUGAAAGUAGCCUGGCGGCUGCACUGGAACCUAUUUCUCACCUGCCUCCUGCGUUUAUGAUUGGAAGCAUGCCCAGCGGGCCAAGCGAGAUGCCUUCCAGUUUUCUCUAUCUCUGCAGAGACAAUCUGAAUUGGCCUCCACAAAUUCAAAUCACAUCUCUCUGCCAAUCCCCAAAGCCGGAAAGGUCACAGAAGAGGAAGAGAGCAAUGCAGCCCAAAUCUGAAGCUCCACAUAGACCAGAGCCCACGUGUAUGGGGAUUAGUCACGCACUAAUCUAAGCAUGCACAUUAGCAUCCUUCUCUCAUGGAAACACAGAAGCAAGACUGCCAUUCAUAUGCCUAGAAAACCCUCCUUCAUGGCUCAUCGAUCCAAUCAAAACUUGAGAAGUUCUUCAGACCAUUUUGUGGAGUUCUUGCAUACACAUGGACUUACUAAGUGCAAAGUCUGAUGAUGGCCAGAGCUUCAGCGAGUCACUUUGAACACGUUGUGCCGGCACACUGGUCCCCGUGGGCCAGAGCCCCGAGUUGCGUGACUCAGAUUCCCCCGUUACUUCUGACAGGCCCCAGAGAGCUGAGCCAGGCUGUGAGGCGGGGCCACUGGGAGUUCCCAGAGGCCUCAAUGUCUCCCAGAUCCCAAGCGUCAUCUCUGGGCUCAGACCCCGAAGCACUGAGAGCUGACUCCUGCCUUAGCGUCUACAUCCUUCCUCUCUGAGAAUAAAUAUGCCCUGUAAGGGAAAGGCCCGAGACCCAGAGGAAGCUCUGGAGGCUGGGAAGUCCAAGAUCAAGAUACCAGCAGCUGAUCCAGGGCCCGGGGCGGGCCUGCUUCUGGUUCACAGAUAAACACUCUCAUGGGGGAGAACGCAGUCAGCCAACCUUCACAGCAGUGACUUUUUCUCUCUGAACCAGAAGAAGAGAUCGGUCACUGUCACUCAGGAAUUCACCGCCAUCUGUUUCCCUCCACGAGGAAGAGGCCAGCUGGGCCUGGUUGUCCGUGGAGCAGAUGGGCGGGAGGGGAAGUGUUUGCUGAACCCAGACCACACCCCGAUGGGCAGAAAUGUGGCUGCCACACUCCCCCGUCCCUGCUGUUCUCACUCAGGGACUGGGACAGUGGGGGCCUCACCCCCUUGCUCUUCACGUGAAGCAAGGGACUGGUGCUCCACCCAACAAACAGGCCCAUCUUCAAGAGGCCUCACAGCCUUUUCGUGUAAAAGAAGAGCAUCCUGUUACGUGAAAGGAUGGAGCUGUUGCUCUCUUGUCUCCCAGAAUCCCAGUGGGACCACGGUAGCAGGAGAACCUGGCCAUAAGUCUAAUGGCCGGCCGUCCGGAUCACUGCCCCCAGGCCGCAGGACCUUUGUCAGGCGUCCACACAGCCAGCUGGUUGUGUCAGAAAGCAAGGCUGACUCCGAACAAUGUUCAAAGCAUCUCUGACUUCUCCUUGACUCGGGUUUCCGGCAUGGGCCUCCAUUGGACAAAUACUUACCGAGCACCUUCCACGUGCCAGGAGCAGGGACGGGUACUGUGGCCUCAGCCUGGACCUAGACAGACCGUCUCCCCACCACCCCACCCCCGGGGGAAUUUCCUGGCUGCUGGGGAGUGAGGAGCCGCAGAAAAGUACACAGACAGAUGAGAGGCUAGCAUCUGCAGCAAGGGCUGUGGAGGAAGCAAGCCAAGUAUGAGGUUGAGAACAGCGGGUGAGCCUAAGGAAGGACCUGGGGACUGUCUCUCCACGAAGGUGCCCCCCAGCAGAGGCGUUAAGUAAGAGCAGCAAUGAGCUAAUCAGGGGAAGUGGUGGAGGGACUGAUUCUGGGCAGAGGGAACGGCGAACGGCGUGAAUGUGAACGUGCUGGGGUGAAGGGAGGGAAGGACAGCCCUGGGAGGCUGCCGCACAACAGGGGAGGGGGAGCAGAGGGGCAGGCCCUGCCGGAGGGGCGGUGCAGCUGUGAGUGUGGAUGCUGCUCCGAGCGUAGCUGCAAGCCGUGGGAGGGUUUUACCGGAGGGGCGACCCUGUGCAGUUCUGCACUGAGCAGGCGUGGCCUCGGACACACUGCCCGUUCAGCCCCCAGGGCUCCCAGGCUAUCAGCCACACGGUAGGGACACUUUCUGAGCUGCUCGAUCUCAGUGUACCCAACCUCGGCCUCCAAGACUGAAAAACCACAGCUCACUCUAAACACCUCUUUAUGAACAUUUCCAAGUUGUAUGCUCAGGAGUCUUUCUGAGCCACUCUGAUCAAAUUCAUUUUAAGUAUUAUUGCACGUCUUAUGUGUCAGACACCGAUCAGAUUGUGUGAGGACCCUUGUAAGUGCCGCAAACCAUACCCCAGGUCGGCCGGCGGGAUUUUCCACCUGCACCUGGCACCCGCCUCACUGAGCCUCCUCCGCGGGUGGCCCUGCUGCCCUCAGGCUCUGCAGCAAUGCCCAGAACGCCUUCCUGAUGCAUGCAGCACAGACCUUGGUGGCUCACUCCGCACUCGUCUCAAAUAGGGAGCGGACUCUUUUCACUGCAACACUUCCAGGGUGCAGCUGCAAGAGAAGACAUGUCUCUUCUCAAAGUCGUAACAGUUUCCAAAUUUCAUUCUGUGAGGAACUGCUCGUGUGUAUGAUGGGUAUAUAAUGCCUGAGAAACUGGGAUUGGUUGGGUACACCCGAGAAGUCCAGCUCUCUUCCCCUUCCCAAUCUCUCUUCCCCACGGGCAUCGUGGACCCCCAGAUGGCCCACACUCUGCCCCCUGCCCUGCCCACCGCCCAUGGCUCAAUGCCUCACACUCACUGACGUUUCCUUCUAAAGCUCUUUCAAGAAUAGCAGCACCCUCCGUCAGUUGAAACUCACUAUUCCUUCCUCCUCUGUAUAAGAAAUAGGUUGUAUUUAAAAAAUAAGACAACAAAUCAACCCUUUUCAGGAUGGAAGAGUUCAGGGAGUGGGACUUGGUUGUGUCCAGAAGUCCUUCCUGGCCACCCUCUCAGGCCAGACUUAACUCAUAACCACUCACUCACUCAUCCAGCAAACACUGAUGAGCACCUUCCGUGUUCCGAGCGUCCUGCCAGGAUCCCGGGAAACAGGCUUGAUCAGAGGAUGGCCCCUGCUCUUUGGGAGCCCAGAGCCAGGCCGGGUGCAGGGUUUCAAACGGAUUGCUCUGGCUGGCCUCUCGGACCAAUGGUCUCAAUGGCGCGUAGACACAGAUAAAUGCCUGUGCCGCUGGGUCCUCGAGGAAAGAACCAGGUAAAAACACAUGAGUAUAUUCAAGAAAAUUAUUCAGAGAAAGGGUUCAAAAUUCAGGUUUUGACUAUAAAAUCAGUAAUUUGUCACCAAAUAAGUAUUAAUGAUUUAUACAUUUAAAAUGUGCCAUUAAAAGACAGUUGAAACUCCAGGAAAAACCUUCACACACUUCACGCCCACCCCUCUCAGGUCUUGUUUAUGCUCAUCACUCUAAUGGACGGAGAACUGGUCGACCAGCAAAACUUAACCUUAACUGUUGGUGGCUUACCACCCAUGGUGAGUACAGAGUUCACAGUUGUGUUCAGAGUUGCACACAGCAAGUCUGAUUACUGUGAGGGUUUUCCUGAGCUCCUCUCGGCUGGACCACGGGCAUGGACUGGAUCUGUGCUUCCCUUUUUCUGGUGUUACACAGUUCCCUGGAUGUUUUUCAUGCUGCAAGUUAAAAAAAGAACAAAAACAAAGAAACCACAGCCAUUCAUCCACAGACCUGGGAAAACACCACUGCCUGCAGGCCCUCCCGAAGCCUUCUUGUCCACAUCGCUGCAGGCGGCCAGCGGGGAGGCUGCAUUUCCCAGCCAGCAGCCCGUGCCCGCAGGGAAUUUCUGCAGAACCUGCGCCACAGGCUUCCCCAUCACAGGCCCAUCAGUGCACAGACCUCAGUGAGAGCCCCUGCGGGGGGACACGGUGGGCCUGGCACUGUGUUUGGGAUUGGAGUCCCAACCGUAGGCUAAAGAGACACGGUCCUUGUCCUCGAGGAACUGAUGUUGGAGGGGGAG